UCUAGACGACUUCCAACAAUUCAGACGACUCAGACGAUUUACUGGGGCUAUAUUCGUAAAAAUGGCUUCUGUUUUUUUGUUUGGUCACAAGGGGCUGAGCUGUAAUUUCACUAGGCUUUUAGGUUAGUUUUGCAUUUGAUUCAAGUUUGGGUAUAGGUUUGGGAUUAAAAUCAAGUUGUGGGUUAGUUUUGGCAAAAACCCCUUCAUUAUUUGCUUAAAUUCGAAACCACUAACUAUAUUAGUUAAAUGAAUAGAUUAGACUUUUAGAGUUAUUAAUAUUCCUUAUAAGUUUAUGGUCGUGUUCUUACUCCAUUUUUUUCCUGGACGGGUGACCUAACUCCUUGAACUUGAGUUUUCAAUCGCGAGAUAAAAAAAGAAAUAUACAGUUAUAUUUUACGUAAAUAUGUAUGGACUAUGACAAAAUGCUAGAUGUGAGUAAUUGAGUUACGUUACAGAAGAGACUUGGCGACCUCUCUCGACCCACGUUUUGGUCCCCGAAAUUAAUCUUUUGGCCCUAUAUAAAAUAUUUUUCUGAGUCCAUUUCUGGAUCGAAAUUGGGAAGGCCUUCAACGAUCAUGUGAGAUACGCAUUCACUAAAAACAUUACCUAACUAGCUAGUUAAAUAAUUGAACGAAAGCACUAGAUGAUUGGUUUCCUGAUAUUUGAUGUUUUAUAUAACGUAUAUGUAUUUCAUUAAAAUAAACAAAAUAGAUAGACAGAAGAAAGAUCCAGUAAACAUGCUUGGAUAAAGUAAUGAGAACAUAUAAAUAUUUUAAUCAAUUAAUUUUGUUGUUAUCGAAACGUGGAAUGUAUAAAUAUUUUAUAGUACGUGAUUACUCAAUCAUGCAUCCUUCAGCACCAGCAUCUGUAUAUACGGCCUAAACCUAAGCACUGAUUAAUAUGUACAAAAGAAACGUCAAAGCCUGUAUAAUAAGCAAAUAAAACAUGUUGCUAGUUAUUAUAAUUAUGAUAUCUAAAUUUUAAUUUCCAAAAAUAUAUAAAUUAAUUUUCAAAUAAUUUUAGUUAUCUUUUCUACGGAUUACAAUAGGCGCUAAACGUAAAUAUUCGGAAUACAAUUUUCAGUUAUGUAGGUUUUUUGGUCAAAAAAAGUAUUACAAAUUUUCUAAGGUUGGAUAGCACAAAGCGGUAUGAAACAUGUGAUUGUUAACCGAAAGCUCGUAGCUUGAUGGUAAAGUGCUCACGGCUGUGAGUUUUGCCACCUAUGUUAAUUAAAUAUGUGAUUGUUGUAGUCAAUUAUUGCUGGUUAAAUAGGCUGCGAUUUUGGACUUUUUAGUUAACAAAAUUCUGUGUACAUACAGACAGAUUAAUGUAAUGGCUGUGUGGGUUGUCUUUGAAACAGUGGCUAGUUGAUACAUACAAUACCCCCAGAUACUUUUAAUGGUGUUUAUUACCCUUUUUUCUCUUCUUCUUGCUGGAUUCUUCGUCUACCACCGCAAUAUCUGCUUAACUAACAAAAAAACUAUUGAGACAUUAAGUGGAGAGAAUAAAUGGAGAGGACUUUGGAGAAGAAGAUGGGCGAAGCAAAGGCAAGUGCUGCUACUCUCAAUGCAGUCAUGACCAACACGGAGCUGGAACUUUAAGUAAAUGGAGAGGACUUUGAUCCGAGGCCAUCACUGCCAAGCGGAAUAUAUAUGAUAAAGAAAAUACAGGAAGAUUUCCGAAAUUGUUUUUCCAUUAAUCAUUAUCUUCAAGACAAGCUUUCCGGAAACCAUAUAUAAAACUGAAUAGCUUUAGUCUUUAUGUAGUGAAAUAGGUUCCAGUUCAAAAACGUUUUUUUUUUACACAUCUGAUACAUCUACUUGACUUUAUUAUAUUUAGUUUCUAUUAAUUUGUUAAUCUAUU